rnacentral:lncRNA from 1 species
CCCGAGCAACCACCGCCACCCUCAACCACACUGUCGUCAUCGCCACCAUAACUCCCCUCACAACUAUCCGCACUACCAGUGGAAGCACCCUCCACCGAAAAAAUCAAGAAAUUGCCACAGUUAACCAAAUAACCCGCAAAGUCUAGUUAACCCACGCUCCCUCACCCAUCAAAACCAGAACACAAAAAUAAUGGCACAGAAAUAUCGAACCCAGCACUACCUCUCAAUUUCACAUAAAUUUCCUCUAUUAUCUUCGCCCAUUCCCCGCUCAAUUUCACAAAAAAACCCGAACCCAGCACCAUCGUCCAUUUCCCAUUUUCUCUGCACAACAAGAAGCUUCUUAAUUAACAACCAAAUUCAUCGAACACGGUGUAUUUUCCGAAGACGCUGCAAAAUGGGACUGGAGUAAUCACUACGAAAUCCAGUUGCUGCUGUAUUUCUUGAAUUCGGCCACUGGUUUCUAUUCGGUUCUCGAUUUCUGUUCGGUUGUUGUCCAACUGUUCUAAUUUAGUACAAAAAGUUUUUGUUCAGUUUCAUUAGGGUUCAGUAAGUUAGGCAGGUGAUGAUUGCUGUAACUAUAGCUGCGUCGAUGAUGGUGGAAGAUGGUGGCGAAGAUGAAUGAAGGAUUUGGGAGAG